CCUACGGGAGGCUGCAGUGGGGAAUAUUGGACAAUGGGCGAAAGCCUGAUCCAGCCAUGCCGCGUGUGUGAAGAAGGCCUUCGGGUUGUAAAGCACUUUCAGUGGGGAAGAAAGCCUUGGGGCUAAUACCCUCGAGGAAGGACAUCACCCACAGAAGAAGCACCGGCUAACUCCGUGCCAGCAGCCGCGGUAAUACGGAGGGUGCGAGCGUUAAUCGGAAUUACUGGGCGUAAAGCGCGCGUAGGCGGUCUGAUAAGCCGGUUGUGAAAGCCCCGGGCUCAACCUGGGAACGGCAUCCGGAACUGUCAGGCUAGAGUGCAGGAGAGGAAGGUAGAAUUCCCGGUGUAGCGGUGAAAUGCGUAGAGAUCGGGAGGAAUACCAGUGGCGAAGGCGGCCUUCUGGACUGACACUGACGCUGAUGUGCGAAAGCGUGGGUAGCAAACAGGAUUAGAUACCCUAGUAGUC
rnacentral:rRNA from 1 species